GGCCCCAUCGUCCAGCGGUUAGGACAUAGCCCUCUCAAGGCUAAGACACGGGUUCGAGUCCCGUUGGGGUCACCA
rnacentral:tRNA from 3 species